rnacentral:rRNA from 1 species
GUAGGUGGCAAGCGUUGUCCGGAAUUAUUGGGCGUAAAGCGCGCGCAGGCGGUUCUUUAAGUCUGAUGUGAAAGCCCACGGCUCAACCGUGGAGGGUCAUUGGAAACUGGAGAACUUGAGUACAGAAGAGGAAAGCGGAAUUCCACGUGUAGCGGUGAAAUGCGCAGAGAUGUGGAGGAACACCAGUGGCGAAGGCGGCUUUCUGGUCUGUAACUGACGCUGAGGCGCGAAAGCGUGGGGGAGCAAGCAGGAUUAGAUACCCUGGUAGUCCACGCCGUAAACGAUGAGUGCAAGUGUUAGGGGGUUUCCGCCCCCCCCCUUAGUGCUGCAGCUAACGCAUUAAGCACUCCGCCUGGGGAGUACGGCCGCAAGGCUG